rnacentral:rRNA from 1 species
GACGAACGCUGGCGGCGUGCUUAACACAUGCAAGUCGAACGGAAAGGCUCCAGCUUGCUGGAGUACUCGAGUGGCGAACGGGUGAGUAACACGUGGGUAAUCUGCCCUGCACUCUGGGAUAAGCCUGGGAAACUGGGUCUAAUACUGGAUAUGACCUUUCUCCUUAUGGGGUUUGGUGGAAAGUUUUUCGGUGUAGGAUGAGCCCGCGGCCUAUCAGCUUGUUGGUGGGGUGAUGGCCUACCAAGGCGACGACGGGUAGCCGGCCUGAGAGGGUGAUCGGCCACAUUGGGACUGAGAUACGGCCCAGACUCCUACGGGAGGCAGCAGUGGGGAAUAUUGCACAAUGGGCGGAAGCCUGAUGCAGCGACGCCGCGUGAGGGAUGACGGCCUUCGGGUUGUAAACCUCUUUCAGCAGGGACGAAGCGUAAGUGACGGUACCUGCAGAAGAAGCACUGGCUAACUAUGUG